ensembl:snRNA U6 U6 spliceosomal RNA
GUGCUCACUUCAGCAGCACAUAUACUAAAAGUAUAACAAUACAGAGAAGAUUAGCAUGGCCCCCCGUGCAAGGAUGACACUCAAUUUCGUGAAGCGGUCCAUAUGAAA